GCGAGAGUGGCGGAAUUUGGCAGACGCGCAAGAUUCAGGAUCUUGUGAUCGUAAGAUCUUAGGGGUUCGAGUCCCCUCUCUCGCA
rnacentral:tRNA from 1 species